UCACAUUCACACCUCCGGGCAGAAUCAAACCAACAAACCUGUGGUCUGCUGCUGGAUGAGAGCACUUACCACGCCGCGUAGUGGGUCCCAAAAUCGGUGCUCGGCCCCCCUUGGAGGGCUCCAGGUUAUUAUGGAGGGGCACAGCAGGUGAAGAUUCAAAUUCAAAUUUUUUUUCUGCAGCCGUUGUCCAGCAGAUGAUACUGUGUUAUAUUUGUCAUGCCCUUUUUCAUGGUUUUUAACAUUAUUCCUCGUGACUCAGUUCCACGGGGUGAGGGUUCAGAGGAGAGGGUGAGAGAAGUGAGACCCUGAAUUUCUUUUCUUCCUUUAUUAAACGCUGCAGAAAAUGCCGUUUAAAACUGCCUUGCUUAUUUACAUCCUUCUUCCCCAAACAUAUUCAUUCCUACUUCUAUUAAUCGAAAUAAUUCUGCAAAACACUGCCCCCUACUGCACGAUCAGGCACGUUUGUUUGCAGGUUCAUUGAUCACAGAUGUCUGUUAAAGUAUAAAUACGAUUAGGACGAAGGGGAUUUAUGUUGUUCAAGGGUUUAAUUUGAUAUUUUAAAAGAAGAAGUGAAUGAAAUCUUCUGGAGUCUUAAUCUUCUGUCGUGACAUGUUUAGAAGGAGAAUUCAUAAAGAUGUUUAAAAAAAAAAAGAUGCUGAUGUUGACCCGUGGGGUCAUGAAGGAUGAACGUCGUUUUCCCCCUGGUUCCCUUCAUGAUGAGGUGCAGUGGAUCUUCUGUCUCCUCUGUGGCUGCAGCACCUUUCUUACGUCUCUAAAUUCUCUCUGGACGCUCGUCCUCCUCCUACUGUCCUCCUGCCUGGGACCUCCAUUUCCAACACCCUGUCUCUGUCAGUCCCGGUCGUUUCCAAUGAAAAUCCUCAGUCUCUGCACUUUUGCCACAUUCAUCUCAGCCUCCUGUUCUUUUUAGGCUAUAAAAUCACAUCAGCUUUUACGAGCACAUUGUAAACCAUCACUUUCAUUCUUGCUGCCACACUUUGCCCCGAGUCUCGUCUCCACCCACUCUUCCCUGUCUACAUCCUGCUGUUUCUCACCGUGGAUGGUUGAUGAUUUAAACUCAUCCACCUCUAAUUUGAUAAAAAAAAUAAAAAAAACCCUUAAUAAAACCAAGUAUUAACAGCGGCGUUUGUUCCCAGAUUGGAUUAUAAUCCAUCAUGUGUCAGAUUUUGUUUUUCCAGUUGUUGGUGAUGGGUUGUUGAGCUCUGUGUUGAAAGACCUUUCUUUUUUUGUGUCACGCUUAAGUUUGAGGAGGAUGUGUACGGGGGAGAAAAGCGAGACAAGAGGAGGCAGGUUAGAAAAAAAAGGGGGAGGAGUAAGAAAGGGGAGUGAGGGGGGGUCAGCAUGGGAGGGAGGUAUGAUAGUGAGAGGGGCUGAGACAGUGGCAGAACAAGCCAGAGGCAGAGGAGGAGGAGGAGGCAGCAGCAGAGGAGCAGCGGCGGCGGCAGCGGCAGUUCUCCCCCUGAGCCUCCAUCCCAGAAUAGACAGACAGAGCGAGGAAGAGAGGGAGAAGACCCGGAGAAGACCGACAGUCCCGCCUCAGCAGAAGGUCCCAGCUGCUGCUGCUGCUCAAGUUGAAGCCCAGACACCUGCUUCAAGGUCAGGAAGACGGCAUGUGCCAAGGAGACGCGUCGGCUGUCACCCAACCUGAAAACCUGUCAGUGCACUGGCUGUCCUGAACACACCGAUGGAACAUCAGGCUGCUGAUGAGGAGGAAUGAAUCUGGCGAGUGACACCAACACGAAACGAUCUAUCAGGAGUCGAUGAAGAGGAGGAGGAGACCUGUCACAGCCGGAGCCUGAAACAGUCAGCGUCCACUCCGCUUCACCUGUCACACGGAUUUGUUGUAGAUAACACGGGGCGCGGAUCAAAGGCAUGAACUCACCUCAACAUCACACAUUGGUGCCUUUAAACUGAAUAACUUCCUUUUUAAACUAAUCCCUUGCCGUUCUGACUGACUGAGGCGAAAGCAGUAGUAAAAAGUAGUAGUAAAAUGGAAAAACAGAAUAAUAAAAGUAAUUUAUUUUGGCUGCUUUCAUUAAAAAAAACAGUGCCUUACGUUCAUAAAAGUUUUUUUAAAUCGUAUUUAUUAUUUAAUUCUUUAACUAUCUAUGCAAAACCUUAACAGGCAAACAGAGGAGUAAUUACAGCUGCGAAAUAAAAGUAGUUAUUGCCAAAAAAAAAAAAAAAAAGUCCAAAUUUGUCCUUUAAAAGUAGCGGCAGUGACAUGUACAUCCAGCGCAGCAGAGUCUCGGAGCGACACUUAAAUCACACACUAAAUAACUGCUACUUCAAACUACUUUGGUUUUUAUUUCCCUGCUAAAAAGUAGCAACAAAUCCUACAGAUUGGGAGAAUCCACUCAGUUACACCGAAUACUUUAUUAGUAUUUGUAGGUUGGCAUCUGAGCUGCACCGAAGUGCCCGUUUGAGUGAUGUGGAGUGUGUGUGCACUGUACAUAACGACCUGUUUUAUCACUGCUGGACCUGAGAGUAUGGAAACUCAGCCUUUUUUCAGUCUAAUUAGCAGAAUUAAAUGUAAUCUGUUACCGGGCCAGGGGCUCGCGCCUCCUCUCACGAGGCCUGACAGGAUUUGCGAGGAGCUGCAGGUCCGUUUUUCAGCGUGUCAGUUCCCACCACUGCCUCCCUUUUUCCUCCUCCUCACCCUUCCCCCACCCUCCCUGCCACCUUCAGUGCGCCGCAGUUGCAUUAUUAAAGUUGUAUAGGAUCAUUAGCAUACAAAGCAGGAAACCUAGCGUGGUGGAGUCAUACAUAUUUAUCUGGAGGUGCCGUGGAUACACCCAUACUGUAACCUCCUUCACGUACAUGCCUCGGCGCCUCUCCUCCCGUGGGAGCGCAGCACUUCACGGGGACUAUGAAGUGGAAAUUAGCAGGAGCACGUCCGGCUAUAAGUGAUAGGUAUUUAUUUGCAUGACAUCAGAGGAAACACGCGCUCUGAUCUGCUUUAAGACCGGGGUGACGCAACGAGGUGUGAGACGAGAAAAAGAAAAAAAAGGAAAUGAGCGGAUCUGGAAACAGAGCAGAUGGAGUUUGGUGAAGUUCAUCAGAGCAGCUCUGUUUCAAGCAUAUCAAAUAUAGUUCACACACCGACGACUUCCUCGCUGUUAUUGCCAGUCAUACAUAUUCAUCUGCUGCACAGAGGCUCAUCAUCAAACAGAGAGUUAGUCAAACAGAGAGCAGGCUUCUGUUAGCACUGGUGUCACCUGUGGGGUAACUUCUGCGCCUUCCAUGAUUGUGAAAUCAAGCUCCUUUUUUCUCUCUUGUUCCCUCCAUACAUCACUGUCCUCCCUGCUUUUCCUCCUGACUAACUCAACUCGUUAGUCUGGCGACGUGGGCUCCUCUGUUGACUUUUCUCCCUCCUCUCCACCUCCUCUUUCUCCUUCCUCCUGUGAGAUUGCUGUUGUGUCUUAUGGCUUUUUAUUCCUACGUGAUGGUAGAUGGGUUCAUGUAGGAGUAGAAGCCACUAAACACACGGUGAGUGCUCGGCAUAGGCAGAGACCUCCCUGCGGGCGUGUACGUCGACGUCUCGGCCUGGUAAUUAAGAAGGCGCUAAGAGGGAACCUGUGGUUCUGCAGCAAGGUCACUGACUCUGCUGUAUUCUGAAAAGGGUUGCAGAAAAAACAGCGCUUCAUUCAACAAAAUGCACACAAACAGCCAGACUGAGUCUUUGGUUGUGAACAGACCUACUUUUCACCACCUGCAUGCAGGUUGCACGUGCCCUGGAUUUCAAGCUCAUUCUUAUGUUCCUCUGCCUCGAGGUCAGCGAACAAAACUGGAGCUGGAAAGUUCUCAAAAUAAAGUUGAGGGAGAAAAGAUGCCAGAUUGAGAAGAGGUAGGUCAAAGUGUUCACUGAAGAAAAAAAACUGUACAGAAUAAGGAGACUUCUUUUGUAAAUUAUUGAUAUUAUAAUACUUCUCAACCAAUGCAACCCAGAUAUUUUGUAAAAUGACAAAUGUAUGUGUUGUGUAUUUUUCAGUUUCUUGUUUUUUUGGAAAAUAAUCAAAAUCUUAUCAAGGACCACAUUCUUGGGUACUAGACAAUGUUCCCCAUAAAGAACAAAGUAAUUCGAAAGACUUGUAAGACUGAGUAAUGUCUGAUGUUCUACUGUAGUAUCAUCCAUCUACAAGUACAGACUUCAAAGUAUCAUAACAGGUGUUCGUCUCCUGGAGUAAUAAAGUGAGUCAUACCCAGUGGUGUUCGGUUGGGAAACAGUCCUGCUGCAUUAUGUUUGUAACAAUAUCUUGAGCAUCAAAAUAACCUUCUGUGUAAUUUUUAACUCCUAGGACUCAGCGUGACUAAGUGGAUCUUUUGAUUGUUUAUCUAAUGACUGUUUGGACAUAAAGAUUACAUACUGGUACAUUUACAAUUGGAAAAGACGAGGGGGGGCACACAGUGGAAUAGUUGUUUUUGCUGUUUUCUUAUUCUGAAAGUCACUACUUCGAUUCUUGGUGUUAAUUGAUGGACUUUCUCCAACAAUCCAAAAACAGGAUAUUCACUCUAAAUUGGCCACUGGUGUGAAUACAAACGUAAAUGACAGUGUGAAUAGUUGUUUUUCCCAGCCCUGACCUGAUAACUGCUGUGAUGUACUCCCACUUUCCUCCACGACCCUGAAAAAAGGGAUUGAAUGUCAGGACAUAAAUUAUUAAUUCAUUAUUGAACACAAGGGGGGAGAAAAAACCUGAUAAAUGUUGUUUAGAUUUGUGUGACAUCUGUGGAGAUGCACGUGUAACAGCCCCAGUGGCGUGUGACAGAUUCCAUCCCACUUCACCCAAUGUCUGUUGAGAUACUCUCGUCUGGACUGAACUCAACUCCCCAAAGCUGACUGUGCUGCCAGCCUGUUAAAAAAUUUAAAAUGUCUCCGUCUGAGAUGCAUGCUUCUCCCUCGACAGUGUUGAAUCGCACUUUCCUCUUUGCUCAGCAUUUCAGAUUUUGUGAAAAAUUCACACAUACGCCAGGGUUUUGAACAUUUAUUUUACAUAUGCUCUUUGUAGGACUUCCCUCCUCCUUUAAAUCUCUCAGCAUCAGCCGGAGAGAGCGGUAACUCGGCUCAGUGCGAGCCAUUUAAAUUCACGUCCACCCACAAAUGAGAUUCAAGACAUUUUAGCCGCCUGAAAAUGGCUAAUAAUGGUAUUUAUCAGCGCGGGCUCUCUGCCAGGGCUGAACUUACUGUCAGCCAAUUAGGCAGGAAAUUCAAAUUAGCCAGUUACUGUUUGGGUCCGAAUGGGUGCUGUGGGGUUUGGCUCUAAAUGUCAACCUUGUGUUUGUAUUUGCCCUGAAAUAAUCCGCUCUUUCUCCUCUCUGUCUUUUUCCUCCUGAGCAGAAUUUAAAUAAAGCUUAAAUGGUUCGUCGUCAGGCAGGGAACUCGAGGGAACGGUAAUCUCUGGAUAUGAGGGGAAUUUGACACACACUUGCCAUUGUGUGACAUUACCUUUGUCGCAAUACGAGGUGGAUAAUUAUUCCAGAUGAAACUGCAGUGGAUAAUGUCUGCCGAGGUUUUAAUGAUUUAUUCAGCACCGUAAGCUGUUAUGAUCUCACAUUCAGUGGGUGGGAUGGAAAGUUUCCUUUGCUUGCAUUAUCAGGGUUUAAUUUAUUUUUCAGGUUCCCACUCCUACAUAGGCGAUUUUAUGACUUCUAUAAGGAGACAAGACGAUGUCUGAGAGAAUAGCAAAGCAGAGGAGACACAUUAGAAUAAGGCAGAGAGACACACACACACACACAGAGAGAGAGAGAGAGAGAGCGUUCGUUCCCAGACCAGCAGGGGUUCAUGGGAAUCUAAAGGUGCAAAUCAAACGUUAGGAAUCUACGGGAACCAGCGUGCAUUAUUUAAAAUGGUGCUGGCACAUGAAGGGCAGGCAGUUUGAAUAGAUUGCUGCCGUUCUCUGUUUUUGCCGCAGGCUGUGUACGCCUUUCCCUGUUAUGAUCUGACUGUGCAGUAAACCUCACAUUCCCAAAAUGUCAAAGUGUUGAGUGAAAGGAGACGAAACAGCCCCAUUUUUUAUUGUGAAAGCUGUGUUGUUGUUGUUUUUUUUUGGCUUCCAUCAGUACUGCAGUUGUGUUUGAACUACACAAGGUCACAACAUUCCUCAAUUCUUCUGAAAUGAAAAAGCCUUCCCACUUGACUAAUGGGAUUUUCUCUUGACAGCUGCGUUAAUGCGGCGUGUUUGUGUACAGUAGGUUUGCGGUGUGGAUAUUGUGUUACUGUAUUCAACCUCCCCUCAGGACACACUUUGAUUUUUUUUUUUCUCUCCUUGUAAUAAAUAAUGCCCUUUGGUGUUGCCUGCUUCUUCUGUGGUAACAUUAGUGCUGCUCAAUAAAUUGUGAAUCACGCCUGUUCCA